rnacentral:tRNA from 1 species
CCAUCGAUAGCUCAGUUGGUAGAGCGGAGGACUGUAGAUCCUUAGGUCGCUGGUUUGAAUCCAGCUCGAAGGA